rnacentral:rRNA from 1 species
AUUGAACGCUGGCGGCAUGCCUUACACAUGCAAGUCGAACGGUAACAGGUUAAGCUGACGAGUGGCGAACGGGUGAGUAAUGUAUCGGUGCGUGCCCAGUCGUGGGGGAUAACUGCUCGAAAGAGCAGCUAAUACCGCAUACGACCUGAGGGUGAAAGCGGGGGAUCGCAAGACCUCGCGCGAUUGGAGCGGGCGAUAUCAGAAUAGGUAGCUGGUGGGGUAAAGGCCUACCAGGCCUACGAUCUGUAGCUGGUCAGAGAGGGCGACCAGCCACACUGGGACUGAGACACGGCCCAGACUCCUACGGGAGGCAGCAGUGGGGAAUUUUGGAAAAUGGACGCAAGUCUGAUCCAGCCAUGCCGCGUGCGGGAAGAAGGCCUUCGGGUUGUAAACCGCUUUUGUCAGGGAAGAAAAGGUCCUGGUUGAUACCUGGGACUGAUGACGGUACCUGAAGAAUAAGCACCGGCUACUACGUGCCAGCCGCCGCGGUAACAC